UGGGGAGUACGGCCGCAAGGCUAAAACUCAAAGGAAUUGACGGGGGCCCGCACAAGCGGCGGAGCAUGCGGAUUAAUUCGAUGCAACGCGAAGAACCUUACCAAGGCUUGACAUAUACCGGAAACGGCCAGAGAUGGUCGCCCCGCAAGGUCGGUAUACAGGUGGUGCAUGGUUGUCGUCAGCUCGUGUCGUGAGAUGUUGGGUUAAGUCCCGCAACGAGCGCAACCCUCGUUCUAUGUUGCCAGCACGUAAUGGUGGGAACUCAUAGGAGACUGCCGGGGUCAACUCGGAGGAAGGUGGGGAUGACGUCAAAUCAUCAUGCCCCUUAUGUCUUGGGCUUCACGCAUGCUACAAUGGCCGGUACAAAGGGCUGCGAUACCGUAAGGUGGAGCGAAUCCCAAAAAGCCGGUCUCAGUUCGGAUUGAGGUCUGCAACUCGACCUCAUGAAGUCGGAGUCGCUAGUAAUCGCAGAUCAGCAACGCUGCGGUGAAUACGUUCCCGGGCCUUGUACACACCGCCCGUCAAGUCAUGAAAGUCGGUAACACCCGAAGCCAGUGGCCUAACCCCUUGUGGGAUGGAGCUGUCGAAGGUGGGAUCGGUGAUUA
rnacentral:rRNA from 3 species